rnacentral:rRNA from 1 species
CCUACGGGAGGCUGCAGUGGGGGAUAUUGUACAAUGGGGGAAACCCUGAUGCAGCGACGCCGCGUGGGUGAAGAAGUAUUUCGGUAUGUAAAGCCCUAUCAGCAGGGAAGAAAGAAGACGGUACCUGACUAAGAAGCCCCGGCUAACUACGUGCCAGCAGCCGCGGUAAUACGUAGGGGGCGAGCGUUAUCCGGAUUCACUGGGUGUAAAGGGAGCGUAGACGGCCGUGCAAGCCAGGGGUGAAAGCCCGGGGCCCACCCCCGGGACUGCUCUUGGAACUGUGCGGCUGGAGGGCGGGAGGGGCAGGCGGAAUGCCUGGUGUAGCGGUGAAAUGCGUAGAUAUCAGGAGGAACACCGGCGGCGAAGGCGGCUUGCUGGACCGCGUCUGACGUUGAGGCUCGAAAGCGUGGGGAGCGAACAGGAUUAGAUACCCUUGUAGUC